ensembl:lncRNA
CCCGGUCUCUCGCAAAUGCUCGCACAGAAUCGGAGUUACACCUGGAUGUGGAAAAAAUAACUGAGUUGUUUGGUGGUGCUAUAAUGCGGAGCUACAACAGUGGGCAGCUAUCCACCGGUGUAUGACAGAAAGGACAUGCCGCGACCGCCGAUCGACCGGUGUUUGCUAACGCGGAGGUCAAUCGUGGAUCAGGGAAAGCGAAGGCAGGAGCGUGAGGUGAACUGAAUUUCAGCAGGAGAAGACGAGGAAGCGGCUGUCAGAGUGGCGAGACGGGUUGUGGAAACCGAAAGUGAAGUACAACAGAGUAACUGAGGAGGCGGAGCUAGAAAACGUCAUAGGAGGAGUUUCACAAAACAGGUGACGUGUGAGAAC